AUUGAACGCUGGCGGCAGGCCUAACACAUGCAAGUCGAACGAGUGGCGGAAGGGUGAGUAAUGUCUGGGAAAAUGCCUGAUGGAGGGGGAUAACUACUGGAAACGGUAGCUAAUACCGCAUACCAUCGGAUGUGCCCAGCUGGGAUUAGCUAGUAGGUGGGGUAAAGGCUCACCUAGGCGACGAUCCCUAGCUGGUCUGAGAGGAUGACCAGCCAGACUGGACCUGAGACACGGCCCCGACUCCUACGGUAGGCAGCAGUGGAGAAUAUUGCGCAAUGGGGGAAAGCCUGAUGCAGCCAUGCCGCGUGUAUGAAGAAGGCCUUCGGGUUGUAAAGUACUUUCGGCGGGGAGGCGUUACCCGCAGAAGAAGCACCGGCUAACUCCGUGCCAGCAGCCGCGGUAAUUC
rnacentral:rRNA from 1 species